rnacentral:lncRNA from 1 species
CCGACCCGUAAAUUUUUACCUUAUUUACUAACUUGGUUAUAAUAAGAAUUUUACCGUCUCUGUCAUUGAAGUUAUAGUUUAAUUGGUCCCUAGAGGGGUUUCGGGGACGGUUAUGCUCGGAGGAUUAUUCGUAGGAGGAAAAUAUGACGACGGUAAAAAUGGUAAAUUUUAGCUAGUAAAAGGUAAUUUUUAUUCGGGUAUUAUUUUUUUCGGGGUGUUUUAUUUUGGAGUGGGUUGUUAUAUGGUGUUGGACCGGGUGGGUGUGAGGCCCAAACACCCAUUUCUUUUCCCUCUCUCUUCUUCUCUCCCUCCCGAACUCAUCCCGAGCUUUCCCGCAGCCGAAACUUCCGGCCGCACGUCCGCCGCCGUCCGGCCACCAACCGCCGCGGCACCGGUCCCGUUCGGUCGACCUCCAACCCAGCAACCUCCCUGGACCGGUGAGAGGAGCCCUAGCUCCGUAGUGAGAGAGCGGUGCCACCCGAAAGGUCCGACUGUCCAAAGCUUCACUUCGUCGGAACUCCCUCCUCCGGCCACCAAUCCGGGCAAGCUUGGUACGGUUUUGAAGGUCUCCAACCCAGCUGCCUUGCCCUAAAAGGGCUCACUCCGGUUCGCUUCAGGUAAGGAGAAAUUAAAGGUGGAAGUUUUAGGGU